rnacentral:rRNA from 1 species
CCUACGGGAGGCAGCAGUGGGGAAUAUUGCACAAUGGGGGAAACCCUGAUGCAGCGACGCCGCGUGAGUGAAGAAGUAUUUCGGUAUGUAAAGCUCUAUCAGCAGGGAAGAAAAUGACGGUACCUGAUUAAGAAGCCCCGGCUAACUACGUGCCAGCAGCCGCGGUAAUACGUCGGGGGCAAGCGCUGUCCGGUUUUACUGGGUGUAAAGGGAGCGUAGGCGGCAGCACAAGCCUGGAGUGAAAUGCCGGGGCUUAACCCCGGAACUGCUUUGGAAACUGUGCAGCUAGAGUGCAGGAGAGGUAAGUGGAAUUCCUAGUGUAGCGGUGAAAUGCGUAGAUAUUAGGAGGAACACCAGUGGCGAAGGCGGCUUACUGGACUGUAACUGACGUUGAGGCUCGAAAGCGUGGGGAGCGAACAGGAUUAGAUACCCUUGUAGUC